rnacentral:rRNA from 1 species
CCCUUAGAUGUUCUGGGCCGCACGCGCGCUACAAUGAUGAAUUCAACGAGUUUAUAACCUUGGUUGAAAAGCCUGGGUAAUCUUUUGAACUUUCGUCGUGAUGGGGCUAGACCCUUCAAUUAUUGGUCUCCAACGAGGAAUUCCUAGUAAACGCAAGUCAUCAGCUUGCAUUGAUUACGUCCCUGCCCUUUGUACACACCGCCCGUCGCACCUACCGAUUGAAUGGUCCGGUGAAAUCUUCGGAUUGAGACUUUGAUUUCUUCACGGAAAACGCUGUUUUAAAAAGUUGAUUAAACCUUACCAUUUAGAGGAAGGUGAAGUCGUAACA